rnacentral:misc_RNA from 1 species
GAUGAAGAACGCAGUGAAAUGCGAUAAGUAAUGUGAAUUGCAGAAUUCAGUGAAUCAUCGAAUCUUUGAACGCACAUUGCGCCCGCCAGUAUUCUGGCGGGCAUGCCUGUCUGAGCGUCAUUUCAACCCUCAUGCCCCUAGGGCGUGGUGUUGGGGAUCGGCCAAAGCCCGCGAGGAACGGCCGGCCCCUAAAUCUAGUGGCGGACCCGUCGUGGCCUCCUCUGCGAAGUAGUGAUAUUCCGCAUCGGAGAGCGAUGAGCCCCUGCCGUUAAACCCCCAACUUUCCAAGGUUGACCUCAGAUCAGGUAGGAAUACCCGCUGAACUUAAGCAUAUCAAUAAGCGGAGGA